CAUUCGAUCGUCCCUCAGGGUUCGCCAUACACUGGCGUUAAACGGGAAGCCGGUGGGCGCUUAACGAGCUACCCCGGCACUGCCCCCGCAACGGUAAUCGACCGCAGCGUGCUGCACCACGCUCCACAGGCCACUGGAUCAAUCCGGGAAGGCGGAGCGAGGCAGGUCGAGAGUCCGGAGACCGGCCCUGAGUGGAUCUGACAG
rnacentral:ncRNA from 2 species